rnacentral:rRNA from 1 species
CCUGAUGCAGCAACGCCGCGUGAGGGAUGACGGCCUUCGGGUUGUAAACCUCUUUUAGUAGGGAAGAAGCGAAAGUGACGGUACCUGCAGAAAAAGCACCGGCUAACUACGUGCCAGCAGCCGCGGUAAUACGUAGGGUGCAAGCGUUGUCCGGAAUUAUUGGGCGUAAAGAGCUCGUAGGCGGUUUGUCGCGUCUGCUGUGAAAACUGGAGGCUCAACCUCCAGCCUGCAGUGGGUACGGGCAGACUAGAGUGCGGUAGGGGAGAUUGGAAUUCCUGGUGUAGCGGUGGAAUGCGCAGAUAUCAGGAGGAACACCGAUGGCGAAGGCAGAUCUCUGGGCCGUAACUGACGCUGAGGAGCGAAAGCGUGGGGAGCGAACAGGAUUAGAUACCCUGGUAGUCCACGCCGUAAACGUUGGGAACUAGAUGUGGGGACCAUUCCACGGUCUCCGUGUCGCAGCUAACGCAUUAAGUUCCCCGCCUGGGGAGUACGGCCGCAAGGCUAAAACUCAAAGGAAUUGACGGGGGCCCGCACAAGCGGCGGAGCAUGCGGAUUAAUUCGAUGCAACGCGAAGAACCUUACCAAGGCUUGACAUAUACGAGAACGGGCCAGAAAUGGUCAACUCUUUGGA